rnacentral:rRNA from 2 species
GAGGAGCACGAAGGUUGGCUAAUCCUGGUCGGACAUCAGGAGGUUAGUGCAAUGGCAUAAGCCAGCUUGACUGCGAGCGUGACGGCGCGAGCAGGUGCGAAAGCAGGUCAUAGUGAUCCGGUGGUUCUGAAUGGAAGGGCCAUCGCUCAACGGAUAAAAGGUACUCCGGGGAUAACAGGCUGAUACCGCCCAAGAGUUCAUAUCGACGGCGGUGUUUGGCACCUCGAUGUCGGCUCAUCACAUCCUGGGGCUGAAGUAGGUCCCAAGGGUAUGGCUGUUCGCCAUUUAAAGUGGUACGCGAGCUGGGUUUAGAACGUCGUGAGACAGUUCGGUCCCUAUCUGCCGUGGGCGCUGGAGAACUGAGGGGGGCUGCUCCUAGUACGAGAGGACCGGAGUGGACGCAUCACUGGUGUUCGGGUUGUCAUGCCAAUGGCACUGCCCGGUAGCUAAAUGCGGAAGAGAUAAGUGCUGAAAGCAUCUAAGCACGAAACUUGCCCCGA